AUCAACUAUCUUGACUAAUUGUAUUUCUACUUGCAUAUGUAUUUUGAUUGCUGAUUAUUGACUAUGCAAGUAUCCACAGUAUGCAUUCCUUUUCUUAUUGUUGAUAGUCUUCUAUUUGGUUUUUGGAUCUUUCAGUAAUAGCUUCAUAGUAUUAUCAGCAAAAGAGAAUGGAAAUUGAGGUCUUACAUGAGUUUUGUUUAAUUUUUGUAUUUUUCAGCCUAUCUUGAAAAGCAAAAGGAGCUGCUUUACCAGAAGGACAUUUGUCUUGCAAAGUAAUACUUUCCAAUCCUAAAGUUUGUAAUAUUCAGUCAAGCAGUUUCCCACCAGAAAUCAUAACUUAUGACCAGUGGGUACAAAUGAAACCAGAACCAAAAAGUAUGUUUUCUAGUUGGAUGAAGGGCAUUCCGUGGUGGAAAGAAAGAGAUGCAAGAACCUAUUCAUCAGAAGCUUGAUUUCAUUCUUAAUACAGCACCAAUGUGGGACAGGUUUGUUCCCUCUACACCUUUUGCUGGUAAAUAUUGCAUUGGAAUUGGAUGAGAUUUUAUCUCUUAGGCCUUGGUGAAGCGAGCUGAACUUUGGUCUGAGACAAUGCAGAAUUAUGAAAUGCAUUGCAUAGUAUACACUAUCCACAAGCAAAUACAUUAUAAAUAAAUAGAUGGCAUUAAAGUGAAACAGAUGGGCAACUAAAUACGGUGAGGUUAUCUAAGUAUCAGCUAGCAUCACUAUGAACAACAAUAAUGUUAAAAGACUGCUCCAAUGGAGGGGAAGUCACUUGAGAUGUUGGGAUGAGGCAGCGCUGCAACUAAUCUUUAUUCUAGCUUUAAGCCAUUCCUUUCCGUCCAAUUUGGAAUUAUAGGGAAAUUGAUUGUUAUAUAUCUACGGAUCUAUCUGGUUCAUUAAUGUAUGGGAGUUUUUUUUCCAUGUUACUGUUGCACUCUCAUACUUUGUUUUUUACUUGAUAUGUUUCUGUUUUGUAAUGAGACAAUGUUAAAGUUGAUUAUGGUUUUUGAUAUAUGUGUCUACCUUUGCAAAUGUAAUAUCAUGUUGAUAUUGUGAGAGUGCAAAUCUAGGUGAAUCUGACCGUUCUUUUUUCAAUAUACUUCUGUUCUCUCUGAUUCACUUUUUCUUCUAAUGUUUAUAAACCAACAAGUCACUCUCUUAGGACGCCAAUUUGGUUAUGCUUCCCAAAUUCGUAAAUAAGUACCUUGCAACCUUUGGCUGGAAACUUUUCUUCUCUUUGUCUACUUUAAUCUGAUAAUUAGGAGUGCGUAUUGAAUAUGUAUUAUAUACUGGAGUGAAUUUGCUACUUGAGUGGAGAAGCUAUCCCAUGUGGUCUGCCAGGAGGUACUUGGAACUCUACUUUCUCUGAAACUCUCUGGCCUCGAGGUCAAUGAUUUAACCAAACAGCUUACCAGUAUCAGGGAGAAGUGGAAAACCUAUCUUUAAAAAGCACAUUUCUGGCCAAGUUUGACGUGGUGGUUUAAUUUGUUCUAAAAACAAUGAUCCAGGUUUGAAGGCUGCUUAUAAACUGGACAAUCAUGUGGAAGAUGGAGUAGUGACGAAAGCUUUUGAAGUGAUAGAGAGAAAUUUGUUUAGCUAGAAGUUGUACUGAGGCUAGAAGUUGGUCUUUUCUGGGUUGGCCUUAGUUGCAGUUCUCCUAUAGAUGUGAUUAUGUGACAGUUUUAGGUACAUUUCUAGAUGAAUUUUGCUAUGAGAGUUUCAAAGAUGUGAUCCCUUAUAA